rnacentral:rRNA from 1 species
GCGUCUGAUCAUACUAGCACUAAUGCAGCGGAUCCCAUAAGAACACCGCAGUUAAACGUGCUUAGGCGAGAGUAGUACUAGGAUGGGUGAGCUCCUAGGAAGUGCUCGUUGUGUCACCCC